rnacentral:ncRNA from 1 species
AUAAAAUCUGUGAUCAGAAAUAGUAGAUAUGGAUGUCAAGUUUUAGCGAGUCUGGGUUGGUGAAAGCCAGAUACUCUAGUCUAUAUUGAAUGGGUCUGUGAGAUGACGUGCGAACUAUAGUAGCAUUGUACGGGGGUCUACCGUUACAUAGACAGGGUAUCGAUAAUGUAUCUGUACCUGACAGAGAUGAUUUUAUGUUUGGGUGGCAUAAGCGAAAUAUAACAUUUCGUCCUAACGGAUGAAAUGUUUUUUAUUUUUUGCAUAGAAUUAUACUUACUUAUAGAUUUUGCUAUCACUCUUAUAAAUAUAAAAUCAAUAUGGGUGGCACCACGAGUCACUUCGUCCCAUGA